rnacentral:rRNA from 1 species
GACGAACGCUGGCGGCGUGCUUAACACAUGCAAGUCGAACGGAAAGGCCCUGCUUUUGUGGGGUGCUCGAGUGGCGAACGGGUGAGUAACACGUGAGUAACCUGCCCUUGACUUUGGGAUAACUUCAGGAAACUGGGGCUAAUACCGGAUAGGAGCUCCUGCUGCACGGGGGGGGUUGGAAAGUUUCGGCGGUUGGGGAUGGACUAGCGGCUUAUCAGCUUGUUGGUGGGGUAGUGGCUUACCAAGGCUUUGACGGGUAGCCGGCCUGAGAGGGUGACCGGCCACAUUGGGACUGCGAUACGGCCCAGACUCCUACGGGAGGCAGCAGUGGGGAAUAUUGCACAAUGGGCGGAAGCCUGAUGCAGCAACGCCGCGUGCGGGAUGACGGCCUUCGGGUUGUAAACCGCUUUCGCCUGUGACGAAGCGUGAGUGACGGUAAUGGGUAAAGAAGCACCGGCUAACUACGUG